rnacentral:rRNA from 1 species
GACGAGGGGUCCAAGCGUUGUUCGGAAUCAUUGGGCGUAAAGCGGGUGUAGGUGGAUUUGUAAGUCAGGAGUGAAAGCCCCAGGCUUAACCUGGGAAGUGCUUUUGAUACUGCAAAUCUUGAAUGUGGGAGAGGAUGGUGGAAUUCCAGGUGUAGUGGUGAAAUACGUAGAUAUCUGGAGGAACUCCGGUGGCGAAGGCGGCCAUCUGGCCCAACAUUGACACUGAUACCCGAAAGCGUGGGGAUCAAACAGG